UACCUUUCUCGGCCUUUUGGCUAAGAUCAAGUGUAGUAUCUGUUCUUAUCAGUUUUUUGAACCUGUUUUGUGACAUAUGAACUAUUUGACCUAUUUUACGACUAUUUGUUCUGUUAUUAUCAGUUUAAUAUCUAAUAUGUGGGCCAUUGGUCCACACGAUAUUAACUUACUUUUUUAAGGGGGAAGGUCCAUUAGGGUAGCUUGCUAUCCGGCCCUUCACGCGUCGCCUAGGCUUUGCACUACAGCCCAGGCCUGGCGCACCCUCCCAAAUCUAGUCCAACAUUAUUGAAUAUAUAUCCGAUACCCAAGCCCAGCAAAUCUGGGCCCUGGCUGUAUGAUUUCGUAUGUCAAUUAUAUUUUGUACUGUGCCCUGAUUCUGCGUAUAACUUAGUUAUGAUUAAAUUACUUUUUCUUUAGAGAAUGAGUUGUUGAUGGUAAUUUAUAAACGCGGCAUUUUAUCAUAUUUUAGCUUUUUUGCCGUUAUUUUUUAAAGAUAUAAUAUGUUAGAAUUUUGAUGGUAAGAAUCUAGAAAUGGAGAUAGUCGAGUGCUCUCAAAACAUUCAAAUUUUCUCUUUAUUUAUGUGGAAACAAUCUAAAAUCUUUAAAAAUUUUUUGGUCGGCUAGUAAGCCUGUAUCCGGUUUCGGUUCUGGGUCUAUUUGGGUAAGCGGUUCCCGAUUCUGGCGGUUUCGGUUCUGGCGGUUCCGGAGCUGGAACCGGAACCAUACGGUUCCGGAACCACCCGGUUCCGUUUCUGGAGGUUCCGGAACCGCGUGUCUGGCGGUUCCGACCUUUUUUUUUUUUUUUUUUAAAUUAAAUAUCUUGUAUAGUAGUGAUUAGUAUAUUGUAGAAUAUAUUUUUAUAUGGUGUACUAUGUUGUUACUA
rnacentral:lncRNA from 1 species